rnacentral:rRNA from 1 species
GACGAACGCUGGCGGCGUGCUUAACACAUGCAAGUCGAACGGAAAGGCCCUGCUUUUGUGGGGUGCUCGAGUGGCGAACGGGUGAGUAACACGUGAGUAACCUGCCCUUGACUUUGGGAUAACUUCAGGAAACUGGGGCUAAUACCGGAUAGGAGCUCCUGCUGCAUGGUGGGGGUUGGAAAGUUUCGGCGGUUGGGGAUGGACUCGCGGCUUAUCAGCUUGUUGGUGGGGUAGUGGCUUACCAAGGCUUUGACGGGUAGCCGGCCUGAGAGGGUGACCGGCCACAUUGGGACUGAGAUACGGCCCAGACUCCUACGGGAGGCAGCAGUGGGGAAUAUUGCACAAUGGGCGGAAGCCUGAUGCAGCAACGCCGCGUGCGGGAUGACGGCCUUCGGGUUGUAAACCGCUUUCGCCUGUGACGAAGCGUGAGUGACGGUAAUGGGUAAAGAAGCACCGGCUAACUACGUGCCAGCAGCCGCGGUGAUACGUAGGGUGCGAGCGUUGUCCGGAUUUAUUGGGCGUAAAGGGCUCGUAGGUGGUUGAUCGCGUCGGAAGUGUAAUCUCGGGGCUUAACCCUGAGCGUGCUUUCGAUACGGGUUGACUUGAGGAAGGUAGGGGAGAAUGGAAUCCCUGGUGGAGCGGUGGAAUGCGCAGAUAUCAGGAGGAACACCAGUGGCGAAGGCGGUUCUCUGGGCCUUUCCUGACGCUGAGGAGCGAAAGCGUGGGGAGCGAACAGGCUUAGAUACCCUGGUAGUCCACGCUGUAAACGGUGGGUACUAGGUGUGGGGUCCAUUCCACGGGUUCCGUGCCGUAGCUAACGCUUUAAGUACCCCGCCUGGGGAGUACGGCCGCAAGGCUAAAACUCAAAGGAAUUGACGGGGCCCCGCACAAGCGGCGGAGCAUGCGGAUUAAUUCGAUGCAACGCGUAGAACCCUACCUGGGUUUGACAUGGAUCGGGAGCGCUCAGAGAUGGGUGUGCCUCUUUUGGGGUCGGUUCACAGGUGGUGCAUGGCUGUCGUCAGCUCGUGUCGUGAGAUGUUGGGUUAAGUCCCGCAACGAGCGCAACCCUUGUUCACUGUUGCCAGCACGUUAUGGUGGGGACUCAGUGGAGACCGCCGGGGUCAACUCGGAGGAAGGUGGGGAUGACGUCAAGUCAUCAUGCCCCUUAUGUCCAGGGCUUCACGCAUGCUACAAUGGCUGGUACAGAGAGUGGCGAGCCUGUGAGGGUGAGCGAAUCUCGGAAAGCCGGUCUCAGUUCGGAUUGGGGUCUGCAACUCGACCUCAUGAAGUCGGAGUCGCUAGUAAUCGCAGAUCAGCAACGCUGCGGUGAAUACGUUCCCGGG